AGAGGAGGAGCUACUGAUUUCCAGCUGCAAGGUUGAAAUAAAACCAGCAAAAGUGCAAGCCAAGGGUUCAGUUUCCCAAUAGCUGCAGCUGUCUAGCACCCGGAGCUAUUUUUAAACUCCUUUUCAGAACUUCCAGUGCUUGCGAUGGAUCUAUUUUCUUAACUGCCAAGAGAUAAUGCUUAAAAGGGAUAGCUUGAAAAUAUUCCACGGCGCUCAUACAAAUGACUGAAAUAGAUAGUGUACAAGACGGCCUUUGUCUGGAGCAGCAGAGGAAAGCAAGAUGAAGUCUUUCAGACCCCAGGACCAUGGUGCUGCUGGAUCUGCUGCUGACAACCGUGGCUUUGUGUCUUGAAUGUGCACUGUGACCAGAAAAGGCAAGAAAACCAAACAGUAAUUGUAAAGAACAUCAGAGACCUGGCAUUUAAAUUGGUCAUUGAUUCCAGGAAACAGGAGACCCCAAAAUAGCUCCCAAAGAAUCCCCCUUGACUUGAAGAGUGCUGCCUUAUCUGCAACGUGGAUGGAGCUGGAGGCCAUUAUCCUAAGGAAACUAACACAACAACAGAAAACCAAAUACUGGAUAAGUGAGGGCUAAACAUUGAGUAUGCAUGGACACAAAGAAGGAAGUUAUUUGAAGAUGUGCUCCAGCAAAAUAAGAGGUAACCCGGGAUCCAUGAAAAAGUGUUUUCAACCCAAGAGUGUGACAAAGAGAAUUUCCAGGAUGACAGCCCUGGUUCAGGUCUGGAGAUCAACUGCCGUAUACGUACUUGAGAACAAGUAUGAAAGUGUCCCUGAGGGAGGUAUCCAGGGAACAAAUAAAGGGGAGAGCAUGGCAAAGUAUUUCUGAUAUGAUA
rnacentral:lncRNA from 1 species